GGGAAUGUGGCUUAGUGGUAGAGUGCUUGCCUAGCAUGCACAAAUCCCUGGGUUCGAUUCCCCAUCACCA
rnacentral:tRNA from 1 species